AGCGAUCGUUGCAUGGUUUUUAUUUCGCGCUGCCGUAUGUUGAGCGUCGGCCGAACGGCUUGGAGGACAACGUGUAGGCGUCUCCCGCCCGAGCAAACAAGAGCGCGCCAGCAAAAAAGAAACGUUGGGUUCGCGGAAGCGAGCGCCUUGAGCGUGCGGCGCGCAGCGGCAACUGCGCGCUUUGGGUGUCGUGCUGGCUGCAGUAUCGUGUUCGGGCGCCCCGUCGCUAGCGUGCUCUUGAUGUCACCUUCGUCUGAGCGCUGCCGCGGACGUGCGAGUGUGGUGUCUCCUUUGCAUAUCGCGCAUGGACCGGGAACACGAGAUGGACGAGUGGGAAAGACAGGAGACGGGAACCGGAAUCCCGUACUACGUGAAUCAUCGAAAGGAGAAGACACAGUGGGAUCAUCCUGAAAUGGUCCUCAUCAUUGAGAAGCUAACGUCGUUCAACGACAUAAAGUAUGCUGCAUAUAGAACUGGAGCGAAGCUCAUCUACCUUCAAAAGGAACUGCUAUUCAGCAACGUGCACGUGUCCAUGCUGGGCAGCGUGUUUGGGGCGCAUGGCCUAGAAGGCGCGUCCCAGCACGAGCUGCUGCUGGGCUGCGCACAGGUGGAGGCCAUCUUGGAGGACCUUUACAAGCGCGCUCCCGGCGUCCAUCAGCAGAAAGUUCCCCUUCUUGCUUCGCUCGCCCUCAAUCUGCUCCAGAACCUGUUUGACGCCAAGCGUAAAGGGACAAUCCAAGUUUUGCAGAUGAAGAUAGCGCUGUUUGUCUUUUGCGCUGGGAGACUGCUGGACAAGCUCAAGUACAUUUGUAACGAGCUGCAAGACGGCACUCAUCGCAUUUCCUAUGAAGAGCUUGAGAGCUUCCUACACAAUAUCUCAAAGAUUCCGGAGUUCCUGGGUGAAAAGCUUUCAUUUGGUGCGCAUUUUGUUCCUGCAGCUGUGGAGAGCUGCCGAAAGCUCGCACCAGCGCUGCCUGCCAUUCCUGAUGACAUGUUCCUCAACUGGCUGCUCCGGGAACCACAAAACCUUGUUUGGAUCUCAACGUUCUACAGAAUGAGGUCCACUGAAAAUGUUGCGCACCCGAUGAAAUGCGGAGCAUGCAAGACAUACCCCAUCGUUGGUCUGAGGUACCAGUGCCUUCAGUGCCUCAACUACGACUUGUGCCAAAGCUGCUUUUUGCACGGCAAUGUUAGCAAGAACCAUUCCAUCAAGCACCGAAUGCAAGAACACUGCCAACAGACUUCUUCCUGGGAAAAAGUCAAAGGCGUCCUGAAGACUAUCAGCCUGAAGAUCCAGCGCUGGAAGCGCGAACCCAGGCCCAGCUACCUUCCCCUGCAAGCCAACCCCGAGCCCAAGCCUCCAGCACAAAGCCCGAAAGCGUAUCGAGUACCACCGUCGGAUGAAGUGGACUGCGUGAAGUCAGUAGCUCACAAUAAUGCGCACAUGGCGCCAUGCUUGGACACCCUCCACCAGCAGGAGCUGGAGAGCAUCAUAGAGCGGCUCGAGCGAGAGAACAGGAACCUUGCCCGUGAGGUAGCGGCCAAAGAACUUGGCACGGGUAGCCCGACAUCGGUGCCUUCGUCGCCUCUCCGGCAGCGCUACCUCCACCAGCACCUGGCGCAGGUGGAGGUGCAGCUGAAACGCAUGCGCAGUCUUUUGCAGGUGCUAUCGAGAGAGGAGACGGGUGGCACUGAUCCCGUUAUGUGCGUCCCCAACGGUGUGGCUGGUGGCGGUGGUGGCGGUCAUCCAUGCUCAGCUGCCACGGGGAACAACCUCGCCUGGCUCCAGAGCACGCCGGCCAACGGCGGGCGGAUGCCAUGCAAGAGUAUGGAUCGGUUCAUGGAGAUUCACAAUGGUCUCAAAGCCAUGGAGGCCCCCCUGAAUGCACCCACCCCUCCACCCCCACCACCGACACCGAGUGUCAUCUGGGAGCUGCGCCGAGACGUGGCCGCAAGUUCAUCCACACUUCCAGAACCGCCAUCGCCAAUUGCCUGUGCCCCUCCCUCGGAGAUUGUCAGUGCCUGCGCAAACAAGGGUACACUGGACUCUGCAAAGGAGUGCACCUUUGGGGACCUGACAUCGCCGGUGCAGUCGACCUUCAUGGUGGACCCCACCAGCACCACAGUGAUGGGUAACGGCUGUCCUGCCGCACUACCCGGGCUGCCCCUCGACGGAGAGCUGGAGAGCAUUUUGCGGCAACUGGAUGACCUGCUGUCUGAACCAAAACAAGCCGAACGCUGAUCUGGGUCUGUCAGUUAAACGUUGACCAAUAUGCAAAUCUUGGUUCAUCGUUACAACUCUGUGGUGGUGAAGAACCAUGUCAUGGAGACCGUCAAUCAGGUUCAGCAAGUCAUGGACAGGAUGAAACAGACCUGCUGAAAAGAAAAUUUGCGCCACCACUUUUUCAGGACCGCAGUGUUUUUUGUAGAUCCCCGUUUUAAGUUUGAAACGCCUUCUUUCUUUCUUUUUUUUUUUCUGUACAGUUGUAAGAUCUUUGAACAUUUAUGACAAAACAGCGUGCUGUAUGUAUUUUAUGCUGAUUUAGCAUGUAGAGAAAGUUGUGGGCAGUCAAACCUCGUUAUGGUAAAAACCUGUAUACAUUGCAGUUUUCAUAUAAUGAUACCACUUGGAAUGAGUACCAGUUUAGAGGGUGGACUUUUGUUUACUAUAUUGUGUAUAGGAUGUUUCUAAAACAAAUCCCAAAACAGCGCAGUUCACUGUUUUAGUGAACCAUUUUUUUCCCUUUAUUUAUAACUGGACUGCACUCUAAUGAAUUAUUUGGUAUAAUUAAUUAAAUGUAAAGCGCUUUUAUUGUUAUGUUUUAAUGACGUCUCUGUUCUGUGACUUAAGGAAAACACAAGAUCCAGUGCGGAAUUUAUAACAUUGAUACAAAUGUUCAUUUUGGCAUGGGUCAAAAGUGUGCCAAUUGCGAAAGCACCAUGCCGAGUCGCUGUGCUGCUCGUGGGAUGAAGCAAGCAUAAGGAUUUCAAUUUCAGGCAGACACGUUCAACAGUACUCUCGCGUUGUAAGUGUUGACGUCACCAUAUUCCGUUGUGUAUCAGUACUGCAGAUCAGAUUGAAAAAGCAAAGGAUACAGUAGGACCUUGCUUAUACGUUUUGGGAAAAAGAAACGCAAGAAAGAAUGUAUUAAUCGGUUAAACAUACCAUCCGAAUUCACUGAAAAAUUUGUCAGACUCAAUUGUAGUUGACACAUUCUUGGUUUAAGCACGAAGAAAACACGAACGGUGGCAGAAGAAGACAGGACAAGCGCUUGUCCUGUCUUCUUCUGCCACCGUCCGUGUUUUCUUCGCGCUUAAACCAAGAAUCUGCUACCGUACCAACUCGCCCAACUAUCCGUCCUUUUGCUGUAGUUGACACCUAUGUAAUGUGAAGCGUUGCGACAAUUGUUGCACCACAAGACGCCGACGUGUGCUGAGCAGGUAGGGCCAGGGCACCUCGAGAUGCCCAUUGUUGUUUUUGUGGCUUUGGUGAGCAUACAUUUUGCGCUCCUCGAAUUCAGCCUUGGUCAGCGGCUUCAUUGAGCAGAUUGUUUUGGUGGGAAGUUUUGAUGAGCCUACUCGGCGCGAAUCGUGGCAGGAGAUGCCAACAUGGUGUCAAACAGGCAGGGCGCGAGCAGUGCAACGCGUUGUUUUCCUAUUGUGUAGCGACAAGAAACAGAAACUAAAUUAGGCUGGCGGGCAGCAGGGAACGGCGGCACGUUUGGUUUAUAGCCUUCUAAAAGUGUGCAGAAUGCUUCUGACACUAUGCCACGCAUGUUGUGACGCAGGUAGGUGAAAAUGCUUAUCGCAGUAGGGUUGGCGGCGAUAGCUGUGAACGCAGCGUGCAACCCACUAGGAGAUUUGUUGGUACCUAAAUUGGAAACUGAGUGCGCACCGGCGUUUUCACAUUACCUGGGCGGUCGACUACUGCGGGAAAGCUGCUGCAGCAGGCGGCUACUGUUCUCAAUCGCGUGCCUCGCGCCUUUUCUUGUCUACUUUGGUUCUAGUUGCCAGAAAAUGUAUCAUACGAUUGCAGUUUGGUGAUAUGCUGAGUGUUGGUGCUGAAAAAUUGUCUUUUCUGGGAACGUAUCAACUGGUAAAAAAUAAGCGUAACUGUAUUGAAUCAUGUCUUGUGUUCUCGAUUGUGAAAGUUGGCACUGAGGAAUCAUACGACAUGGGAUUAUGUCAACGAGGUUCUGUGUACUUACUGCAUACAUUUCAAAUGAAACAUGAGCAUCGUUAUAGUAAAUUGUUAUAUCUUUGUUUUUCUUGUCGAGCCCGUUUUGCAUGGGCCCAAAUGCGUGUUUAUAUUUCCGGUUUCUAGGCAUCCAUUUUUGUGACUUAUUUGGUAUGGCAAGUGCAUUUCCAUGACUUUCAACACUACUUUGUUAUGACACUGCUCAGUUGUUCAGUGGGCCUUGUAUGUGUGAGAAGAAGCAAUCACAUUCCUACUACAUACUGCUAUGAUGGGAGUGUGUAUUAUGUCAGUAGAUGGGGGGAGUUGCAUGUCAUUUUGUCAUUUUCUCUACUAAAGUUGAGAAACCCAUGGGAAUGUAAUUCUCAAGAGAUCAUAGCCGUUUGCUGAAACACUCGGAAAGCCGCGCUUCAGCUAAUGGGAUAUAUUGCAUGGAACUGUGCUAAAAUUUUGAAAGGAUGUAAACGAAGCUAAUUCAAGCUUCAAACUGGUCUGUGCUUUUCAUGGGUCAUAGUCGUGUGUGAAUAGGGUGAUCACUGCAUUGUACGAGCACGUGAACAGAGAGUAAUGGAUUGCCUUGUGCAGCGCAUUCAGCAACACCUGGCUUCACUCCUAUAAAUUCACAUAUGCACCUUGACCCACUUCAUGCUAACUAUAAAAAGUGGAAUAUGGUGUAAGCCGUUAAGUGUUGGAGUCAUUAUGCUUAAAUACACUCUUUGGAGGUUAUUAUGAUGACUAGCUUGAGGGAUGUCAUUUGAUACCAGUGCCUUUUCAAGGAAACACUUAAAGUGUCUAGUUAUGAAAUUAAAGCACAGAGAUUGAUUAGCAUCUGUGAAUACAGUGGCCACUGUGUGCCUUUAAUAUAAAAAGUUAUAGCCUUGCUGUUACAUUGAUUGUUCAGUUUUCAAAUGGUGGUUUUGUGAUUGCAUUCUUUCUUUCUCUCUCUCUCUCUUUUUUUUUUACACUAUGUCAUUAGGCAAAGAAACUGACGAUUUUGACUUGCAUUUAAGUACAGCCAUAAAGGAGAUCUUGUCAGAAGUGGCUAUUAUGAAACUUGCUGUGUGUCAUGCAAAACCAUUGCUGACGGCAAUUUGUGUGCAGCUACUGGAAAAUUCUGUAUGUUUUCCAUAUUGUGUGUUGCGUGUUGUACCAUGUGGUAAGACAUCUACUAUGAUAGUAGCCAUUUUGUAAAGGAUGCAUGUAAUAUUUUUGCUGUGAAGUGUUGAAAAAAAAAAAGUUUGCAGUUGUUCCUAUCAGAUUUUGUAAAGCGCCAAUGUGUGGGUGUCAUAGUGCUAAGUGUUGACUGAGGUCGGCUUCUCGGCGGGAGAGUGACCGUUGUUACAUGUUUUGUUGCAGUGUUCCUUGUCACCACAUCACUGGAGUGCACGCGUACAUUUGCUCUUCUUAUCGUUUUGUGGGCAGCUGCAUUCUUUUGGGGAUUAAUUUAGUGCACGUUCCACAAAAUUUCGUUUUCGAAUAAGCUGUGUAAGAAUAACGCUGUAUUUUUUAUCUUCAGAUGACAGGGAAAUGUCAUGGUUAGUUGUUUGGAGUAGUUGGUAAUAAGAUAGGCUUAUCGUUGUGUAAAAUACGUCUCGCAUGGAAUUGCUGACAAUCCAGUUCAGAACUUUGCUUCAUGUUACACUUGAGGUUAAGCUUACUUGUGCUGGAGCAUCAAGUGAUGUGUGAAAUUUUGCCUAUUGCUGCAUAACAUGUUACGCUUGUUGCCUUGCUCCAAAUCACACUUUUGUUUAACAGGUAGCAACAAGUGUUCUAUUCGAUGAAGUUUUGCAGGUCAGCUUUACUUUUGCUUUGAUGGCCAUGGUAGAUGCGGCUUGCAGAACAUCGGCAGCUAUACUGGUAUAUGUUUUUCAUUAUUUCUUCCAGUACAGAAACAUUAAGCUGGCAUUUUUUGCCUUUCACAGUUUCACAAAUGAGUUUUUGAAGGGAACUGUUGGAUCCAUUUCCACUCAUUGCAGUCACUUGGUACCUGCCAUUAUUUGCGCAUCUGUUCUUAUGUUUUAGAGAGUCAUCAUGCAUUAAGAAAUGCUUUUUCAUUAGUUUGUGCAACAUUACCAUCAAACAUUACCAUCAACAUUACCAUCUGCCUUGUACGAGUGCAUUAUAUUAACAGCAGCCUUUUGACAGAAGUCCCGCCGACACAUUUUUCAUGGCCUCUAUUGUCUGUGCAACUGCAUUUUGAUAAUUAGCAAGUACUAUUUACAUUUUAUUUUUCUCUUUUUAUGAUGAGUGUCAGAACUAUUGGAGCUUAAUCAAAAUGAAUGAAUGGGAUCAUUGUGCCUUAUAUACAACUUUUGUAACAUCAUGUCAAGAAAAGCAGAGUGCAGUAUAGAUUUGUUAUUCUCCUUGACUAUUAAGGAAAUGAAACCUUGCGUGCUGCAUUUCAUGUAGUUCAGCAAUGCUUGCGGUGGUAUGCAGCUAUGAAAUGGUGUAUUUUUCCAGUUGUGUGCAGUAUAGUAGUGCAGUAUAGUAGUAUGGUGCAGUACUGCUAAAGGUCACACAUAGCUGGCAAUAGAGGCAGUGCAACUCAAACAGUUUUUCUUUGUUGAGGGAAAGAAAUAGCUCGCAUGACAGUCUAGGCCGACAGCUAUGCAUAAAAAAUAGUCUACAUGGCUUCGUGCCUUCUUCCAGCUGUAGUUGUCAGCCACAUUCUGCGGGUUUUCUUUUAAGGGGUAUCCUGCUCUACCUGCUGCCUUCUUCAUUAUGUGGUGUACCCUUAGCUUUUUUUAUUUGUCAAGCUAUGCCCAGUGAAUGAUUCCACAUGUCAUUUUUGCGAAAAUUUCAGAGCUCUCUGCUAUUAAGCAGUUCUUUGUUUUUUUUUUGUUUUUUUUUUUGCAAUAUAUUUUGUGUCUGGUAAUCCUUUUAGCUGUGAGAAGCAUUCCAGUUUAAAAUGAACGUUAGUGAGAACAACUGAAAUGGUUUUAUACUGGUAGAUUACUCUUCUGAAUCUGUACUUGCACUUUUGUAGAGAAAGAUCGAUUAUUAGUGGAGGGUUUGAAAGUUGAACAUCCCAUUAUUGUGCCCGAACUGUAGUGCUGACAUCAUAGGGACACUAUUAAUUUCACUGUAUUUAUGCAGGCUAGAGUCUCUUCUUGUGCAGGAAAAGCACACUGAAGUUCCUGGGUCAAGGUUUAAGCUAAAUUAAGAAAACAGUCAGCUUUAACCAGAAGCUGCCAAAGUCUGUGACAUCAUAAGGAACUGGCAUAAGAAUUUUAAUGUGUCGUCACCGCUAGUCCUUCAUACCUGUGACCUUUCUGGCACACCAAACUUUUCUUAACGGUAAGAUUAACCAGUUUGCAACUGGCCACCAGCUUGGAAACGUGGUCUACUAAUAUAGUUUAACGUUUUUCAUUAAUGUCUCCUCCUGUUGCUUCCACAUUUUUGGCCUUUGUUUCUCUCAAAGGAAGUGCCUGUGACAGAGUGGUGUAUAUUUUGCUAGGAAAUUGAAUGUUUACAUCUUCCCUACACCUGUGAAACUGGUUCACGUCAGACCAUUCAUGUGCAAGCAUUCUCUCUUCUCUGACUGUGUAAGAAUGGGCAUGUCUGCAAUGUUUAACAAAAGUUUUUUAAAAAGAGCCUAUACAGUUUUAGUACUUCCUCGCCUCCAACACUCAUAUCAGUGCCGAUCUCAAAUGUGUUUGACUUUGAUCUAAGCUGAACCUUUAAAGAUCUAUCUGAAGUCAACCUCCUAAAGUUGUUCCAUGAGGUCCUGUAAUGUUCCCACAAUAUUCUAUGUGGACAAGUCAAUCCCAAUCUGUGUUUAGCCAACUGUUUAUUGCAAGCCUUUAUUAUGAGUACAGAUUUUGCUCAGUUUUACUCGUAUUCACUUUGCAUUUAUAGUUGUUCAUUUGCCAUUGUGGCUACAAUGUCUGCCUUGAGAGCACGCACCACAGUUCCAAGCUACAACAACUUCAUUCUGUUGGAGGCAAUGCAGAAGUACCCUUUGCACUGAGAUCUUACAGUUCAGUUAUAAACAUCAGGCAGUCACAUUAAUUAUACACCCCUCUGCUGCAUCUUGCCUCAAUCUGUUUCAGGCUAAAUUAAAAAAAAAAGUCAGUGCUGUUAGGAAAUCUCGUAUUUCACAAAGCCUCCUGAGGCCAAGUAAAGCCAAAAGUGCCUUUUUCAGUAGUACUCAUUAACGAUGAGGUUCGAUGUUCACAAGUUCUGUGAGUAGUUGGUUUAAUGAGCAUUGGAUGUGGCCAUGUGAUCGAGAGGCUCCACCAAGUUCCUUGAGCACUUUGAACAAAAGUUGUUAGCGUCCUUCUAGGGCAGGCUACUAUAGUGGUGAAUGUAAAAGGGCUUGUGCUUAUUAUCUGUUUAGGUGCAAGCGACGGGCUUCCCGAUGCCGUCGCCUUCGCUUCACCACGCAGCACUUAAGGAUACAGGGUUUUGAUGUGAAAGCGUCAAAUGGUUCACUGAACGAAAAACUCGGCGUCCAAUGUCUGUAGCAGCGAAAUGGCACCUGAAUUCCCACUGGCUGCAACGCCACAUUACGAGUGCCCCUCAACAGAGUUCCCUUUGGCUGCGACGCCACGGCAUGAGCACGCCUUGAUUGAGCAGAGCGGGUGAAAAAGCACACCCACUGCAGUAGCGUGCCAGGUGUUGCAUAAGGGGAGAAGGUAUUGCCACGACGCCAAAUCGCCCUCUCUCUCGGAAGCCUGUGUUAUCCGCGCGUUCCUUGUCCGUGUAAACUCUCGCCUGCGUUCUAACUGCACCUCGGUAAGGCCAAAUCAAAAUGCGCUUGGUUGCUCGUGAGGACUUCAUAACUAGAAGGACCGCUUAGCGGCAAUCAAUUGGACAUUAAUCCUUUCGCAUUCACAACUCGUAAGUGCUUAGGUGUCCUCGGAUUUCUUGUGCCUUGUGCAGCGUAUGCGAAGAUGUUUAAUGCGACUUAUAGAGUGCAGUGUUUUCAUGUUUCAGUAUUGACCCCUUGUACAUUUAUAACUGCUUGAGCUGUUUACUGUCGAGCCAUUUGUCAGUUAUCUCUGCCAAGUAGGGAAGGUGUUCAUUGUGCCGUUCAUUAUUUGUAGCCAGCUAUAGGCAUGUGUGCUACCAAAUAUGCCAAUUUCUUAUGGAAGUUCCAGUGUCCAAUUCUACAGCAUAUUGCAUUGCCUGUUUAUUGUGCAAGUAAGUACAGUUGCCGUCAUACUUGACCCUAACACGCCUUAAAGGGCCUUCUUGCUUUUCCUGCAGAGAGUUAUAGAGAUUUCUGGUUGGGGUGCAUUGAAUGUGCUAGCAUAUGGAUCUUCUUUCCAAAGCAUUGAAUGUUUUGCUCUGACAGCUCGUGUUUGUUAAAGUAGAGCCGCUAUAGAUGUGUCAGGGCUGUUCGGGUUAGGUCUGACGGCAGCUGUACAUGUUUUUAUAGUGCAACUGUUAUGCCCGUGUGUGUAAUAUAUUACGGUAUGUAAACUGAAAACACCUUCUUGUGGCACCUGGUGCUGCACUUGAAGGGGCCUAGCCUUUCUUGUGACUUCAUUGUAAAUACCUGUUGUUUUUGCCAAGUCUCUUCAAUAUUAAGGCUGCUGUUGCAUGCAUUUCAAUGCUAAGGCGUUUGCAGCCUUGCGCUGUUUCGUUAUUCAGCUUGGCAAUGGACAUGAUGUUGUUUUGACAACCUUCUCACAUUGUGACUGUUUUGUCACACCUUGUUGUUUCAUUACUUCCUCCUGUUGUUACUGUUGAAUUUAUUAAUUCAUUACUCAUUCACCUACUACUGGUGUCACGCAGAUGACAUCAGUGGUCACUGGGAAGUACUGCUGUCAAACUUAUCGAGCUCAGUCUAGACAUUUAAAGCUCUUUCAUGCAAUCUGGCUUUCUUGUUGUUGUCGUUGAUUGGUUUCUUCAAUGCCCCCUGUAGCAGUGCUGUGCUGGUUUGCUUUUUUUUUUCAGCAUUAGCAUACCUUCAUAAGUUAAGCACUACUGAUCAUUAGGCAUUAAGAAGUGCUAAUAUGAGACCUGUGUAGAUUGCAAUGACCUGCGGGGGAAGAAGUUCGCCUUGGUAGCACUGUAGAGGCUGCUAAAUCCGUUUACAUCCAUCGUGAAGAAUUGUUAGGGUUGUGUGAUCGCUUUGCUUUUGUUGGCGGUGAGCCACAUAGCGACACCAAAAUAUUAUCCACCUCUGUUCAGGAAAAGAUUUCAAAUGGGGAUCUUCUUUAGCACAGACCAGAAAUGCAAGUCUGCUAAUUGCAUUACGUAAACCUGUGCUAGUGUGUGAGGAUUUCAACAUUGCUCUUGCAACUUAAAGGGAAUCUGAAGAGGCUUUAUAAUUCGAAGGUUUACGGGGGUUUGGAAGACUGACACAGUAUAAUUUAACUCCUGCAGUCAUUUUCUCGAUUAUGCACGUAGAAGUGCCGCAAUCGCGCUUAAAAUUUUUGUUGAAGCUCCGCCCCCUUCGCUCGCCGAACAUAGCAGCGAAAGACUGGGCGCGAGGAUGACGUCACAACCGUGUUCGCCAUCAGAGCCCGUUAAACGACCCGCGGCGUCUCCCGCAGACGCUGCGGCUUGUUUUUGCUAAAUUAAACAACUUGCGAUGAAUUCUGGCCUCUUAAACUAUCAUUUUCGGAUUCAGGGGGGAACUAUAAUAAUUCGUUCAAAGCUCCCUUUUUUUCGAAAAGUGAUUCAGCUGCCCUUUAGAAGCCAAUUGUAAUAGUUUUCAUUGAAGCAGCUGUCUCUUUCACCUCCAUGCUAAGCACUGUGGACCAAGCUUAACAUGGUACGUGCAACAGGUGCAAUACUUGUGCAGUCACUAAGUGAGCAAAGUGAAUGCGAAAAACUGAGGAGCAGCCACGUAACAGCCAUAUCAAGAUAAUAGAUGCUGAGGCAAAGGAAAAAGUAGAGAAAAUAACUUUCUUUUACUGAUAUCUGAAAUAUAGGCAGCAGUAUAGUAUGUUCCUGGUAGUGGUGAAGGGAAAAGGAAAGGAAGAAUCAAAAUAUCAACUCGCCGGUUGGGGGGAGGGGCAAUGUUCCAAAGUGUUUGUUUUUUUUUUUAAUUCCCUUUUGCAGAUGUGCCUUCAACACUCUAGGAAGCGUAUUAAUGGGAGUAUAGCUGUGUGUUGGGCAUGUUGAUAAGUAUACUUGGAAAGCGUUUUAGUGCAAGCAGACAAGGACAAGAGGAGUACAUGUCAUACUUCAACCAAAUGGAAGUUAGCGCGCCGUGGUGUCUGUCGCCCUCUCUUGCACUUGUCUACGGACACCAUAGUGCAUUAACUUCAAUGUCCUUGAAGUUAGACAUGCCUCUCUGUUGUCCUUUUUUGCUUGUAUUAAAAUGUUUUUCAAGUAAUAGUGGGAGCUUUUGUCAUUGGGGGAGAGGUAAAGUUCUGUGCCUUUUAGCAUGUAUGCACCUACGAGAACUUAAGCCACAAGAAAAAGUUUUAACAGGGCUGUUACAGAUUGCUAUUGCUAUUUUGCAAUUUCUUCUAUAUUUUGAAUCAUCACAUGAUGGGCCAGAUGUAGCAGUGCAGUUGAAAAUGCCAGCCCGUUUUUUUUUUUUUUUUUUUUUUUUUUUUUAGUUUUAGUGACCACAUGUUAUCAUUAUCUGCUUCAGACAGCAUUGAAUGUGGACAUUUAGUUAGUAGGUUGUUUUUCAGGUGAAUUUGAGACAUUGUCAUCACAAAUGAUAAGCUGUACAUCAUGUUCUUCCUGUUGUUCAAUACUGUCAUCUGCUGCUUGUUAACAUGGCAACGUAGUAUAUACACACAAACACACACACUUAUUUUCUUGUAACUAAAUGCUUCUUUUUUAUGUAAAGAUGCCAUUUUCCUUCUUUGUAACUAGCAGCUUCUUCAACACAUACAUACGUCAUUUUUGUCAGUGUCUUAUGCAAAGGUGUACGUUUUAUUUUUUUUUAGUGGUCUCGCAGCUAUGAUUUGUGUUGUAUGUACAUUUUGUUUAGGAAUGAGCUACGUACACCCACUGCACACUGACACUUCUGUUUUGUAUUCUUUGGCCAGUUGGGUUAUUUAAAAAUUGAGCCUUUUUCUUUGGACUGAAUUUUUGCUUUUUUUUCUGUUUGGUGGGGUUAAUGGUGUACUUAAUGAUGAGAGAUGAUAUUGCUUGAAAUUAAGCGAUAACUUUCUUAUUUUUCUUGUUAUUCUAGAUGGAGCAUAUUUAAUGUACUAUUGGUCUCUUUUUACACAUAAUAUAUUACAUCAGUGAAUGUAUACUAAGCAGUUUCAGCUGUUUCGACUUGUGCUGCUUUGUAUCUUGUGGUGAAAGGAUGGCUGAUAAUGUGGGAUUAUAUUAUUUUCACCAGUGCGUUGUGCACACCCGUAAAAGAUUGUUUCAUUUUUUAAUAAAGCGACGUGCACUGCGUGACUA